rnacentral:rRNA from 1 species
AUGAUGUGGUUUAAUUCGAUGCAACGCGAAAACCUUACCCACCUUUGACAUGGCAGGAAUCCCGAAGAGAUUUGGGAGUGCUCGAAAGAGAACCUGCACACAGGUGCUGCAUGGCUGUCGUCAGCUCGUGUCGUGAGAUGUUGGGUUAAGUCCCGCAACGAGCGCAACCCUUGCCACUAGUUGCUACGAAAGGGCACUCUAAUGGGACUGCCGGUGACAAACCGGAGGAAGGUGGGGAUGACGUCAAGUCCUCAUGGCCCUUAUAGGUGGGGCUACACACGUCAUACAAUGGCCGGUACAGAGGGUAGCCAACCCGCGAGGGGGGAGCCAAUCCCACAAAGCCGGUCGUAGUCCGGAUCGCAGUCUGCAACUCGACUGCGUGAAGUCGGAGUCGCUAGUAAUCGCAGAUCAGCAACGCUGCGGUGAAUACGUUCCCGGGCCUU